AGCGCAGCAUGGGACAAAGUACACAGUCACCCUGGUUAAAAAAUAAUUAAGGGCUGGGUCUAUCAAGCAAACUUAAAGAUGAACUUCCUGAAACAAGAGAGAAGACUCCUACCAUUCCCAAGAGAUUCUGAUUCAAGAUGAAACCCCGAGUUAUAAUCUUUAUUUACUUCGGAGGACCCAUAUUGCACUUUGUGAAAUGUUACAGCAAUGGUAAUUUUGACAACGAUCCAGAUAUAUGUCAAACAAUGGAAGUUCGUCACGGCAACAAUCAGCCUCAGGACACUGAACCACCUUUUAAAGUUGACCCAGAUAAUAUCACUGUUGAUCUUCUAGAUGUGGGAAAAUCCUUUGAUGUAACACUGAAAGCUGACAGCGGUGAAACAUUCAGAGGUUUUAUGCUGGAAGCACGAAAAUCAGGCAACCCAACACCUCAGGGGAUUUUUUCUCUGUUGGACCCAAACCUCAGCAGACUUCAGCAAUGCGAUGGUAUAAAUGGUAAAGCUGUCACACAAACAAAUAACCAACGAAAGGCUGAAGUAAAGGUCAAAUGGAAUGUUUCUGAAACUGGAGUAUAUUUUUUCAGGGCUACAUUCGUUAAGAGUUAUAGUACAUUCUGGCUUGCUUCCUCAACCCCGGUAACAACCUCUACACCAGCCCCUGUAACAACAACCACCGUAAUGACAUCAACAUCAGCGAUAUCAACAUCACCAUCACCAUCAACAUCAACACCAACAUCAACAUCAACAACAUUAUCCUCAGACCCUGUAACAACAACCACCGUAAUGAUAUCAACAUCAACGAUAUCAACAUCAACAUCAACGGCAUCAACAUCAACAUCAACAACAUUAUCCUCAGUCACAACAACUGCUCCACCACAAACCUUUUUGGAGACGACAGUCUAGUGCCUCCCAGGCCUAUGCAUCAAAAAUGUGUCUCUAGCGGUAGGUGGCAAAAAUUGUUGUUGUUGUUUUUUUUUAAACCAAACUCUGGCAAUAACAUUUGAACCAGACAAAAUGCAGUCCUGCUGCAACUGUGCAACUGUGCCUUUACAUCUCUCUCUUCAGUUAUUGUUCAAAUGUCAAAUUGGGAAAAUGUGAUUUCCGUGACUGGUUUGGGUAUUUCCAAAAGUGCUAAUAUCUUGGGAUUUUCACCCACAACAGUCUCUAGAGUUUACAAGAAAAACACAAAAACAAUAAACACCUUGUUGAUGAGAGAGGUCACACUGGUUCCAUGUGACAGGCAGGCUAUGGUAACUCAAAUAAUCUUUACACUCCUACUCUUUACAACCAUGGUGAGCAGAAAAGCAUCUCAGAAUGCACAGCAAGUGGAAUCUUGAGACGGAUUGGCAGAACAUUAUAACAGGCUUCACGUCUGUCAGCCAAGAACAGGAAUCUUACAGUAAGCACAGGCUCACCUAAACUUGACAUUUGAAGAUUGGAAAAACAUCACCCGGUCUUUUUCCAGUCUUCAACUGUCCAGUUUGAGGGAGCCUGUGUCCCCUGUGUUUCCUUCGAUUCCUGUUCUUGCACUGCUGCUGUUAUUGUGCUGCUGCUGCCACAUGAUUUGCUGAUUGGAUAAUUGCAUGAAAGGGUAAGUGUACAGGUAUUCCUAAUAAAGUGGGCAGUGUGUAUAUACACAGCAGCAUGUAGAAAACUGUGAGCCUUUGGCUUCUAGGGUAUUGUCAGAAUUUUGCAUUAAUAGUGUUAGUUGUGUUGGCUCAGUGGUGUCACAGAACAGAAGGCUAUGUGUUCAAAUCCCAGCAGCACCAGUCUGCCAUGAUUGGGUCCUAGAGCAAGAUCCUUCAGCUCAGUUAUAUCCUGGAUUGAAGAAAUGUAUUGGAUUAAGUGUUACUUUAUACCAUGUAAGAUAUUACAGCUCUUUACUGUAAUUAUGUUUUACAGUUGUUUACUGUACAUUUUAUAGCACUUUACUAGCAACUCAGGUUGCCAGUAAAUUACUGCAAAAUUUACAGCAUACCAUAAAAAGAGAAGGCAAUUCAUGUAGGAAAGAAGAUAUUGUAGGGAAUCACAUCCACAAUAAGCUGUUGAUGCAAUAAUAACAUUAGGUGGGACUUUAAGCUUUUUUCCCUCAUUGUUUCUUCCUGGGAACUCAGAGGGAAGCAGAAAGCUAAGCAAGAAAGAUAGCGAAUAUUAAUUUCAGCAUUUCCAUUGAUAUCAAAUUCAGUGGUGAAAAGGGAAGAGCAUAUUUAUUUGUUAUGUUUGACAUUUACAAUCUCAAAGCAAUAAUAAGCACAAACAGGCCAGUCCAAAAGUAUUAUUUAUGUUCAUGAUCAUCUCAGCAUGCUGACAUUAUGUCAUUAGUGUGUCAUUAGUAGUUAUGUAGUACUUUGAUUUGCUAUUUUGAUUGGGUGUCCCAAUUUAAGAAAUUAAUGCAGAAAAUCAGAAAGUUUUUUGUAUUGACAAUGUAUUGUGUAUUUAUAACUUUUCCUGGUUAAUAAUCAUUCUCUCGCUCUGUAUCUUAGUUUGAGUCAUCUCUAACUCUACAUUUGCUCAGUUACCUUUCUCUUGCUGAGUGUGGUCUUUUCCUAAUGAAAACCCAUGUAUGUGCAUGGAUGAAGGUAAAAUCUAUAAUUCUUCUACAAUAUUCUUUAAAUAUUUUUACUUUAAACAUCAGGACAUAUGCAUUCCACAUCCAACAAAUUAUUUAGCCCAAGUACACAGUAUAAAUAAACAUUAAAAAUACAUUACAUGCAAAAUGAUUCUUUUACAUACACAGAAAUUCAAAAACUCUUUUUUACAGGUGACAUCAUUUCUGUCUUUGGCAUUUUCAUUGGCUGCUUUCAUCCUCUUACUGAUAGAUAACAAACAAGUAAGAAUAUUUUUUCCUAAAUUUAUUCCAGCUAGUUCUAGGUGUCAGACUGGUAUAUUCUUUCAGCCCCAUUUGUCCAAUCUCCAAUUAAUCUGCCACAUCAACUUUAAAUAAUGUAUAGUCAUAAUUCAAGAUUUGGGAAAUACACAAAGGUUACUAUUAACAAUAUACUAUAUCAUAGAUGCACUAAAUACAAAAACACAAAACAAGAAAUAAUUACCUAUAGUAAGCUCAUCAGAUGUCAAAGAUCAUGUGUUCACUUAUGUUAAGCCAUAAUAAUGUCCAGUAACAUUCAUGUUGAAAAUUCAAUUCGAUGGUCUUUCCAUCUAUGUGUAUUUGUCUGUGUGUGUACAUGAAUCUGUACAUGUAUAGGUUGAGGGCAAAAUACUGGCAGGAGUGGCAGCAAGCCUGAACUUGUGCCAAACUAUUCUAAUAUUCUUUCUCUGUGGACCGAGCCAUGAAUUAAGGAAGAUUUUCUGCUGGGUGCUCAGAGUGGUUGCAUCCAUAAACUUUUGUUUUACAAUUGCUGCAAUAUAUGUUGGUCUUGUGGAGGAUUGUUCCAAAAACCCCUGCUUCUGGCCUGCCAUACUGAUGGGAGUUUAUUUAGCAUGCCAAUUGCUGUCAUGUCCAUUUUUUUUAUAUGGCAUACUAAAACAAAAGAACCGACAACAAACUGCAUCAAGCAAACAGAAUUGCAGGGUUUCUUACUGGUGUACAUGCCUGGUAAUUUUUAGUGGGAUGAAUAUAGCAUUUACUAUAGCACUUGUAUUAGGAAUAUUUUUGUGCCAUUGUACGACUGAUACCUGAAGAGUCAAAGACCAUCAUAUUUUAAUUAUGUGUAUAAUUUUUUACUUAUUUGUUACUUUUCUACAUCAAUAAUUUCAAGCUGUCUCCAUUUAGUAUGUACAGGAUAUAUAUUGGCUUUCUGAGAUUUGGUUCUGAAUGUGUUUUCACAUCAUAUAUUCUUAUAUAUCAUAUCUUAUUAAUGUAUUAUUCCUGUUAUCAAUGCUUAAUAUCAAUGUAGAUUUUGAUUUUGUAUUUGUAGAGAAAUAUAUAUCUUUAUUCUGAAAAGAGAGAAUCUACAGUCCCCUCCGAAAGUAUUGGAAUGGCAAGGCCAAUUUUUUACUUAUUUAUUUAUUUUUUGCUGUACACUGAAAACGUUUGACAUCAAAAAAUAAAAUAUGAGAUGAUAGAUCAGAAUUUCAGCACCAAUAUGAUUUCCAGAUAUUUAAAUCUAGACGUGUUAAACAACUUAAAACAUGGCACCAUGUAACUGACAGGAGUUUCUUGUUGUCCAGAUGUGUCCUGUUAGAUUGACUGUUUAAACAGUUUUGAGCUUGGUUUGAGCCCUGGGUUUCGCCUGUGAAGACUGCAUUUGUUGUUAAAAAGGAUAAACCAACAUAAAGACCAGAGAGCUAUCAAUGGGAGAAAAGCAAGCAAUUUUGAAGCUGAGAAAAGAGGAAAAAAUCAAUCAGAGCCAUUGCACAAGCAUUGGGCACAGCCAGUACAACAAUUUGGAGUGUCCUGAAAAAGAAAGGAACCACUGGUGUACUAACAACCAGACAUCGAACAGGUCAGCCAAGGAAAACAACAGCAGUUGAUGACAGAAACAUUGUGAGAGCUGUGAAUAAAAGCCCCAAAACAACAGUCAGUCAGUCAGUGACAUCACCAACAACCUUCACAAGGCAAGGGUGAUGGUAUCACAAUCCACCGUUCAAAGAAGACUUCGAGAGCAGAAAUCUAGAGGCCAUACCACAAUAUGCAAACCACGCAUCAGCAGUAAGAAUCAGAAGACCAGAUUAGAUUUUGUAAACAAAAAAAAAAAAAAAAAAAAAAAAACAGAGAUGAGCCACAAAAGUUCUGAAGCCAAGACUAACAUCUACCAAAGUGAUGGAAAGGCCAAGGUUUGGAGAAAGAAAGGAUAUGUUCAUGAUCCAAAACAUGCAAGCUCAUCGGUCAAGCAUGGUGGAGGUAGUGUCAUGGUUUGGGCUUGCAUGGCUGCUUCUGGAAUGGGCUCACUAAUCUUUAUUGAUGAUGUAACUCACGAUGGUAGCAGCAGAAUGAAUUCAGAAGUCUACAAAACAUUUUGUCUGCCAAUUUACAGAGAAAUGCAUCCAAUCUAAUUGGGAGGAAAUUCAUCAUGCAUCAAGACAAUGACCCAAAACACACUGCCAAAAGGACUUCAUGAAGUGAAGUGACUUGUGGCCAAGUAUGGUGACCCAUACUCAGAAUUUGUGCUCUGCAUUUAACCCAUCCAAGUACACACACACACACACCCACACACCCGGAGCAGUGGGCAGCCUUUUUUUUUUUUUUUUUUUUUUUUGCUGCAGCACCCGGGGAGCAGUUGGGGGUUCAGUGCCUUGCUCAAGGGUCUCACCUCAGUAUUGAGGGUGGGAGAGAGCGCUGGUCAUUCACUCCCCCCCACCUACAAUCCCUGCCGGACCCGAGACUCGAACCCCCAACCUUCAGGUUCACCUUUGGGUAGUAAGUCCGACUUUCUAUCCAUAAGGCCACGACUGCCCCUCUUUUCCAGGGGAAAAGAGUGAAAGGUUUUAGACUGGCCAAGUCAUUCACCACCUGAAGCAGAGAAUGAAGGGAGAAACCCC